UCGUCAGCUCGUGUCGUGAGAUGUUGGGUUAAGUCCCGCAACGAGCGCAACCCUUGUUAUUAGUUGCCAGCAUUAAGUUGGGCACUCUAAUGAGACUGCCGGUGACAAACCGGAGGAAGGUGGGGAUGACGUCAAGUCAUCAUGCCCCUUAUGACCUGGGCUACACACGUGCUACAAUGGGCAGUACAACGAGAAGCAAGCCUGCGAAGGCAAGCGAAUCUCUGAAAGCUGUUCUCAGUUCGGACUGCAGUCUGCAACUCGACUGCACGAAGCUGGAAUCGCUAGUAAUCGCGGAUCAGCACGCCGCGGUGAAUACGUUCCCGGGCCUUGUACACACCGCCCGUCACACCAUGGGAGUCUGCAAUGCCCAAAGCCGGUGGCCUAACCUUCGGGAAGGAGCCGUCUAAGGCAGGGCAGAUGACUGGGGUGAAGUCGUAACAAGGUAACCGUA
rnacentral:rRNA from 1 species